rnacentral:rRNA from 1 species
GAUUUAUUUAAAGGGCCGCGGUAAUUUGACCGUGCGAAGGUAGCAUAGUCAGUAGUCUUUUAAUUGAAGGCUUGAAUGAAAGGUUGGACGAGGGAUAAGCUGUCUCCUUAGUGGCGUAACGUGAAUUUAACUUUUAAGUGAAAAGGCUUGAAUUAUUUAGUGGGACGAUAAGACCCUAUAAAACUUGAUAUAAGUUUAGGCUUGAUUUGUGAUUUAGGUGAAAGACGAUUUUGUUUGGUUUAUAUUUCGUUGGGGAGAUGUAGAUAUAAUGUGUAACUGUCUAUUUAAUUUAAUAAAUAUAAUUAGUAUGUGAUCCUUCAUUUGUGGAUUAGAAGAAUAAGUUACUUUAGGGAUAACAGCGUGAUUUUCUUUGAGAGUUCUUAUCGACAAGAGUAGUUGCGACCUCGAUGUUGAAUUAAAAUUUCAGCUAGGUGUAGCCGUUUAGCUGGUGGGUCUGUUCGACCUUUAAAAUUUU